GUGCAUAGCCAGCUGCAAAUCUACAUACAAAUUGAUCUUUUUCAGUAUCCGUCUAAUAUGUCUUGGUUUGAAUUCAUCCUUCCUUCAGUUAAUAAAUAUUUCAGGGUCCUCCCUCUGCCCACUGAGUACCUGGGAGCCUAUGGUGAAAGCAUCCCUAGUUUGACAUCUCAGAUACCCUGAGUUUAGACAACUCAUUUAGGUGCUAUGAGUAAAUGGGAUGAAGCCAGCCUUUGUUUCAGCUGUUUGUUUUCUUUUUCUUUCAUUUCCCCCAUCAGCACAGAUCCGAUUUUUCUCAGGAUGAGUUCUGCUGUGUCUGAAUUCCUUUUUGUGUUCUUCCCAGCAUUCCAGUCAGUGCUGCACUGCAGCAGCACACCCCUCUUUGGAAUGUUAUUCCCUCAAGACUCCCAUGGCACAGAGAGAUGGCGACAAAGCAGCAUCAAGCAAUUGCCUCCUGGCUAGCAUUCUCGGCAAACCCUCAUGACUAUUGACUCAAAUGAGCAGCCCAGCAAGAAUGAAAUACAUCAGAGUUCAAACACAAAAGAAUUUACCUCCAGUUUUUGGGUCAAGCCAACCUGUGCAAGUGAGGCAAGUGAAUUGUCAGGGAAAAAGUCCGUUCGAUUCACAGAUUAUCACGUGGAUCCCAAGACCAGCGUGACUGUGGUGACCAAGAGGAGCAGUCUGCAGCUUCCAGUUUUGCCCAUCUUGACCAGCCUACAGUAUCAAUAACAAGAACAAAGGGUUGUCUGGAGCUUUAAUGUACAUAGUCAGAAAAGGAAAUAUUGGAGGCCGCAGCAUCUCUUUGCCUUUUGCAUACCUUUGGUUUGGUUGAUGGUGCUCACAGCCCUGGAAAGUGCAAGAACAACAGGCAGGGAGCAGGCAGACUCCUCAUUCACAGACACAUGUCCAUUGAUCCUGUUCACCAAGUAGGAAAGACAACUGAAAUUCUACUGGGUUACGAUGGAUAGCUUCCAUUGUGUUACUCUGGACAUGCCCACACUGCUGACCAGGAAGAAGCAUCAUUCUGUCAUACAAAACCACAUCCUGUGGCUACCUGUUUUACACAUAUCAGUUUGGGAAGGACACUCUGGACACAGAUCUUACCUAAUGUGCCAGAUUAUGAACAAGAGGUCCUUGGUCUGAGUCUCUUUGACACCAGGGGAAAGGCUUGUUCUAACCUUGGAUUCAUCCGAAGUUUCUAAAAGGAGUUAUUUAAGUGAAGAUAGGCUAAACAACAAAGGGCAUCUGCUUUCCCAUAUAUGUGUGGAUCCACAGAAAAAAGUGGGAAGGGAAUGUGGCUGAGCAGAAGUAAAUUACUCUGUCUAACUUAAAAUCAAACUGUGGAAUCCACUGCUAUUUGGUAAAAUAUUCUGAGUGAAUUUUUAAAAAGGGCUGGAUUAGUUCAUUGCUAUUUGUUGCAGCUACUCUCAAAUAAAUGGAUAAACGUGACUAUUUAAGAAGAAUCCUCUUAUCCAGCUUCAAAACUAUACAACUGAGAGCAAAGUUUGUCUCUCUAAAAGUAGUCAAACCCAAUGGUGGAUGCUGUACAGCAACUUUUUUGGCUGAAGAGGUCAGGAAGGAAAUAUUUCCCCACACUAAUGGGUAACCACAGUUUCAUUUUUCAGCAGCUAUUAUGUUCUUGAAGUACUUGUUCAUUACCACUGGAGACUUAAUGUGCCAGUGCCCAGUUCUCUGUGCCAGAGGUUUACAAGUUAGGAGAAAUGUAUCACACUCAAGAGGAGAGGGAACAGUUGUCCCCUUCCAUUCAUAAAGUAUAGUUUUGUCAUAUCGUAAGAUGUCUGUUUCGUCUCCAGCUUUUGCCCUACUUACACUUUCAUUCAUUCAAGUGUAAUUGUUAAGAUAAGCCCUGUGUCUGGGCUUUACUUGUCAAAACCCAGGCAAAAACAGAAGCAAAAAAUUGGUAAUGGUGGCUCUCCUGUGUGUGUUGGUACAAAACUCCAAGAGUACAUCUCUGCCUAAUGAGAAAGCACAGAUGUUCUGACAAGCAAGAACAACAAAUAAUAAUUAAAAAAAAAGUUGCUAUUCUGUCAAAUAUUGUGUGCAUAUCAAGGAUCUGGAGUACAAAGCAGACUUAACAGCAAUCACAUUUUGAGUAGAAUUCACUUGAAUGUAACACCUUCUCCCUCUAAGGUUUUGAAUGUGGUAUCUUAAAGAUGAUCACACAAAUUACUCAUUCCAGGAACAAAGGCUCUUUCUUGAAAGCUGUCAGCUUUCUGACAGUUAUGAUGAGCAUUUACUUCAGGCUUGUAAAACAUAUUAAUCAAACUUGUUCCUAUAGCUUCAGUCCAAGGAGUGUUACUGUUUCUUUUAGAGAAAUAUUUUACAUAAGUGCUCUGAAUACGUAUACACCUUGAAUGCAAACCACUGUCUAUGCCAUUCAUUCAUUCAUAAUGAAUAAAUACUAGUCUACAUCGGGAUUAAGGGGAAUUGAAGCAGUGUAUGGAAAUCUGUUUAUUACAAGACUAUUUGCCAAAGACCUAUGCACCAUUCCUUGAACCCUGAAAAACAUUUGAAAAUAUGGGUUGCAUUUGCAAACUUCAGUGUAUGACAUGGAGAGCUGGCAAACUGCCUGGUUUCUACUUAAAGGAUUGUCAUUCUGGGAAAAAUAAAUUUCUCUAACUAGACAAAAGUCAAUGUUUUCAUGUUUUACUGCAAUCAAACUGAUUCAGCUGACAAUUUAAUGUCUCAACACUUAAAAUAUCUGUGGAUAAUCAGUUAUCUCAAUCAAUCAUAUCUACAAGAUUUCUCUAUUUUCAAAGCCUGUAUACAUAUGACAGAGAUAUCUAACAGUUUAUAGAAACCUUCCCAUCCUUAAUGCUUCAUGAUUUCUCUUCAACUAUCUACUUCUUUUUUUUCUUUCUUUCUUUCUUUUUUUCCUCCGUAUUCAAGAUUUUAUAAUUUUUGGAAAAAAAAUCCAACCCUGCACUGUAAUCAGAUUUUGAAACCUUUGUGUUAAUGUCCUGUUUUAUUUAAUUUUAUGUAUAUUUUAUAGUCUGCUUGCCUGUCAGAAAGAUGUGGAAAUGUGCUGGCAUUCCAGCUGAAGACAUCAUUAUGAGUGAGAAAAUGCUCAAGGCUUUUUCAAAGUGGGUGCUGAAACAUACGUUUCUCUUCUUUGACUCCAGGGGAUGCUAACAGCUGCCCCAGCAGACAGGUACCGCAAGGUCAAAGGCUAGCAGAGCUGUGCACCUCCAGAAUUUGACUGCCAGCAAAGUAGACGGGUAGUUUCUCAAAACUAAUAAUAAAAAUAGCAACAGUGAUGAGAAAAAGGAACUGACAACAAAAAUGAAAAGAAACCUGCAGGAAGUGAAUUCUGGGAAGCAUAACACUUGGCAGAGCUGAUUUUAAUAUCUGACAGGUUGAGUUCACUAAUCUUUGCUAUUCAUAUUGACGUGAAACUUCAUACAGUUUUAGAGAUUUGUAUCUAUUAAGACAUGCAGCAGUGUUCCUACAACACAGGAACAAGUUUGCUAGCACCUACUGUUCUUCUUCCCUGAUAAAAAUUGGUAUGAGCUGUUUUAAAUGCCUAACAAAUAAUUACUCUGAACAAUCAAUAAAGAAAGCUGCAUCUUUAGGGCCUCCUUUAUCUUUAAAAAAUAAUAAAAAAAACACCAAGCCUCAGACCCACCAACAAGACAAAACAACAUUCUUCCCUCCAUCUUCCCCCCUCUCUUUUGUUUCUUUGAUUACUUGGAGCCUUGUAAUCAAACUAAGCUUAGUUUCAGGACCCUUGGGGCAGUAUCUUUUAGUUCCCUGUCAGACUGCGUUGCAAAACAAUCAAUCUUGCUCUUGCACUCACUUGGCGGAAGUGCUGCGACACGAAGAGUGCCGUGCUUUGCUCUUGCUGUGAAGCUUCGAUGACAAAAGUUUUUAUCAGAAGCUGACUGUAUUUAGGGUUAUGAAUAUGCAAUGACUCUCAUUAGUAUUGAAGCGCAGGAGCACAGGCUGACAUCCCCGCCACUUUUAGCUGCUGCAGAAUCGUCUAAUGAAUUGUCUUGCUCUUUCACUUGCACAGGCGCUGCUGUUAUGGCUCCCUGUUCCAAGGGGAGUUGCCCAGUUUGAGAAUACUGUUGACUGCAGAAAUUAAUUGCCAGGAACUGCUCUUGAUUUUGUUAAACAAUGUUGAGACAGUGUUUAAAUUGCCAAAACAGAAAACCAUUAAGCUCUGCACAAGACAGAGCCAUCAUGAAUGAAUGAAGGAACAUGUGUGUCAUUGUGCCAGGCUUUGCGCGCAGUCUUAUGGUCACACCUGCACAAUUGAAGAUGUCUGUGUGCCAGUGGAGGGUCUCAGAGACCUGUCUUCACAUUGAUUUAUUUACUGUCCUUCCAGCUAGAACAAUUAAGAUAAGGCGGGGGAUAAGGCAGAGUUCUUCAAAUGAGCAGGAUUCCAAUACACUGCUGUUUGAUCAACCUGUUAAUGCUCUCUUCUUUUCCUCUGGGACACUGUCAAACAUUUUUCAGUUCACACAUCUGCAAUCUUUUUAUGAAUAAAGCACUGAUAAGAAUGUUGCCAACAAAUGAUUAAGAUAUCUGGCUUGAUUUGUAGUAUUGGAGGAGAUGUGAAAGCUUUCAGAAAAAAGUGGAAAUGCCCCUUUCUCCCAAUUGGUUAAAUUAAGUUUUUUUUUUUCCUAUUCAUCUGAAAUUUCUCCUGACAUAAAAGGAUCUUUUGUGGCUCUCCGCAGAUUGUGAAGGAUGGAGUGUAUUGAAAUAGAUAAUAUAUUCCAAGAAGCGUAAGCAGCAUUCUGAAAGGUGCGUGCAUACUGCAAGUAAUGAAGGAUAUGAGGUUCUCCCAAUAAGAUGUCAGCCCUGUGCAGCUCUUUAUCUAUUCAAUCAGUAAUGGAAAUGGUCCCAGUGCAAGCAGGAGGAUCUGUUUAAUUUUUACUGCGAUUUUUGGCACUGCUGCUCUAAAGUGAGCUUAGGUUACCUCUUGACCCAACCCCAGGAGUGCCUGUUCUCGUCAGCUGGAGAAAAAAUAAACAUAAAAAACAUCUACAUGUUGGGAGUAUCAAAUACAAAAGCAGUUUAAAAUAAAUGCAGUUCUGACAAAAGUGGCUCAAGUAUCAUACAUCAAACACUUGUUACCUCUCUUGGCCUUAGUGAUUGCACGUGACUAAGAAAGAGUGAGUGAUAAAAUCCGAAGAAAGAUGAAACCAAUCUGGGCCUUUUUAAAGAUCAUCAAUCAUUCUGCGCAGCCAUGAUAUUAUUAGUUCCAGUAAGCCUUGUUCUCCCAUUUUAUGGACAUCAUAAACCCCCACCCUUCUACCAAUGCUACCAUGGGAAAUCACUUUUAUGGGCAGCAUCUUAGCAUGGGCCAAUCAGAUCUAAUCACAUAACAAGCUACUGAAUUAUUCAAUGUUCUCUCUAAUUCUGCAUUCUUCCUGCACUUUGCUGUCACUGCAGGGUUUUAAAAGUAUGUGAUUUUACAAUAUUUAUUAAGAAGAUAACUGUACACAGGAAUUUUGCUUUCUCGAUGUCUUUCAAUAAUUGUUUGUUCCCUUAGAUGGUUGUACUAUAUACACUUCUGUAUAGAGAAUAUUUUCUCAGAAAAGUACAGCUAUUCAUAAUGUGGCAUUCAGCUCUAAACUCUUUCGGCUUUUAAAAUACUGAGCGUAAGGACAAUAGUGAAACAAUUGUGUUCAAACAUAAAAUAUUCAGAUUUACAGAGCAAACUGUAACCAGCAUGUCUCUUAGCUGUUGCUAUGAAUACAGGGCUCACAUUGUAUGUGAAAAUAUUUCAGUUUUAAUUGCAAAUCUGUGCAGAGAUGAUUUGGGGUCUGUAAUUAGCACAUAAAUUCCAGACUUUGUGACUGCUGUGAAAACACACAUUAUUUAUGGAACGAUUAUCUAAACAUAAUUCAGUGUUUUUUUGCUUUCAACAACUACUGUAAAAGUCUGAUUUAAUAAAAUGUGAAAAAUUU